UAGCUCAGCUGGCUAGAGCGCUUGACUGGCAGUCAAGAGGUCGUGGGUUCGAGUCCC
rnacentral:tRNA from 1 species